GUCUUUUUGAUUUUAAUUUAAAGUCGAAUCUGCCCACUGAUUUUAUUAAAGGGCUGCAGUAAAUUGACUGUACAAAGGUAGCAUAAUCAUUAGUCUUUUAAUUGGAGACUUGUAUGAAAGAUUUGAUGAGAUAUAAACUGUCUCUUUAUUAAUCUUAGAAUUUAAUUUUUUAGUAAAAAAGCUAAAAUUUUUUUAAAAGACGAGAAGACCCUAUAGAGUUUUAUAAUUAGAUUAAUUAAAAUUAUUAUUAAUAUUAAAUAAAAAUUAAUUUAAUUAUUUUGUUGGGGUGAUAGAGAAAUUAAAUUAACUUUUUUUAUUUAUAUGUAUAACAUUAAUUAAUGAAAAAUUGAGCCAUAAAUUAUGAUUAAAAGAAAAAAUUACCUUAGGGAUAACAGCGUUAUUUUUUCUUUUAGUUCAAAUAAAAGAAAAAGUUUGCGACCUCGAUGUUGGAUUAAGAUACAAUUUAAAUGUAGAAGUUUAAAAUUUUGAUCUGUUCGAUCAUUAAAAUCUUACA
rnacentral:rRNA from 1 species